rnacentral:rRNA from 1 species
GAUGAACGCUGGCGGCGUGCCUAAUACAUGCAAGUCGAGCGAACAGACGAGGAGCUUGCUCCUCUGACGUUAGCGGCGGACGGGUGAGUAACACGAGGAUAACCUACCUAUAAGACUGGGAUAACUUCGGGAAACCGGAGCUAAUACCGGAUAAUAUAUUGAACCGCAUGGUUCAAUAGUGAAAGACGGUUUUGCUGUCACUUAUAGAUGGAUCCGCGCCGCAUUAGCUAGUUGGUAAGGUAACGGCUUACCAAGGCAACGAUGCGUAGCCGACCUGAGAGGGUGAUCGGCCACACUGGAACUGAGACACGGUCCAGGCUCCUACGGGAGGCAGCAGUAGGGAAUCGUCCGCAAUGGGCGAAAGCCUGACGGAGCGGCGCCGCGUGGGUGAUGAAGGUCUUCGGAUCGUAAAACUCUGUUAUUGGGGAAAAACAAAUGUGUAAGUAGCUAUGCACGUCUUGACGGUACCUGAUCAAAAAGCAACGGCUAACUACGUG